AUUGAACGCUGGCGGCAGGCCUAACACAUGCAAGUCGAGCGGAUGAAGGGAGCUUGCUCCUGGAUUCAGCGGCGGACGGGUGAGUAAUGCCUAGGAAUCUGCCUGGUAGUGGGGGAUAACGUCCGGAAACGGGCGCUAAUACCGCAUACGUCCUGAGGGAGAAAGUGGGGGAUCUUCGGACCUCACGCUAUCAGAUGAGCCUAGGUCGGAUUAGCUAGUUGGUGGGGUAAAGGCCUACCAAGGCGACGAUCCGUAACUGGUCUGAGAGGAUGAUCAGUCACACGGGAACUGGGACACGGACCAGGCUCCUACGGGAGGCAGCAGUGGGGAAUAUUGGACAGUGGGCGAAAGCCUGAUCCAACCAUGCCACGUGUGUUGAAGAGGUCUUCGGAUUGUAAAGCACUUUAAGUUGGGAUAAAGGGCAGUAAGUUAAUACCUUGCUGUAUUGACGUUACCAACAGAAGAAGCACCGGCUAACUUCGUG
rnacentral:rRNA from 1 species